ensembl:lncRNA
CUUGUCACCGUGUUACUUUUGAGACUCCUGAGCAACAAUCCCAAAUGAAAUCGACACAACAGAUCGGGAGGCGCGAGUGCAAACGGCAAACUUUGAAUGAUGGCGGUGCAGCGCCGGGUAGGACUUCACAGGCAGAGCCGUUGACAUUUGGUCUCCAGGCUCUGUUUGAGCUUAGUGUUUCCUCAGACUUUCAUCCCUCCUUCCUGACACACCGGCUCAUCUUGGAUCUCGGGCCAGACGUCCCCCGUCCCCCAGGGAUUCAGGGCAGUAUCUCAUCUGUCACGGAUGACACCACCCUCAUUGGACUGAUCUCUGGUGGGGACGAGUCCGCCUACAGGUGGGAGUCUGACCAUCUGGUGUCGUGAUGCAGCCAGAACAACCUGGAGCUCAACGCUCUAAAGACAGUGGAGAUGGUUGUGGAUUUCCGAAGGAACAGAGCCCCACCCUCCCCCAUCACCCUGUGUGACUCCCCCAUCACUAUUGUGGAUUCCUUCCGUUUCCUGGGCUCCAUCAUCACCCAGGACCUCAAGUGGGAGCUGAACAUCAGCUCCAUCACCAAGAAGGCUCAGCAGAGGUUGUUCUUCCUGAGGCAGCUGAAGAAAUUCAACCUGCC